rnacentral:lncRNA from 1 species
ACACUACGUUAUUAGCCUGAGUUACAUAAACGAGUAAACAGAGGCUUGGAGAAGUUAAAAAUAAAUUGCCCUCAGUCCUAACUGGAGAGUGGUGGAGUCAGAAUUUGAAUCCAGGUUUAAAGAAUUCUAGUGCCGGCACUCUGCACCUAUUUCUCUUUGGACACUCAUUUCCCCUAAGGAUCAGAGAAGCUCAAAGUAGGCCACUUUUCGUCUCCGUAAGUCCGCAAGGUCCUGCGAGAUCACAGUGAGCAGGGCACCAGCAAAUACAGUCUGCGACCGCGAGACGUAAAGGGAAGAACGCUCCUCGGCACCCCUCCCCAGUCUAUCCUAAAGUCAAGAACGUCCGAGCCCGCCUUUCUCCGGGGGCGGGCUGCAAUAAAACAGCAAAAUCCUCCAUUCCCCAUCAGCGGUCGAUUGGGGGCUCUUUCGAAGCGGCAGCUCUGUAGGACCGCUCUUCUACCCCAAGAUCCCUCGGCUUCGGCCCCCUAGGUGCCAGGGUCUGCGGGACCCCACGCUCAAAGCCGCCGGCCGGGGUCGACAACUGCAGAGAGGGUCGGGAUAGGAAAUUGCGGGUAGCGGCAGAUGCGGGUCCCCAGGCAUCCCGGAGGUUCCCACAGGUCUGCAGUGGGCCUACUUUGCGAAAAGGGCCCGGCUGCGCCGAGCCUCGUUCAAAUCAGAUGCCAGACAGUGUUUCUUGGGAUCCAUCCAAAUAGGUCCCUUAUUUCUCUUUGUGGGAGCCCUGGGCCUCCUUCCAGGCCGGAACCCAAGUGCUUAGGCAGCCGGGAAAGGCCGGUCCCCUUUUUCAGUUCUCUCGCGACCUCUAGCCACUUCCGGUUGCUAACGGUUCCCAAACAGCCCCCGAAAACGCUACGUGAGCUGGGCCCUGGGCCAGAGGCAGAAAACGGACGGAAGAAAAGGUCUGGCCGGUGAGUGUCAGAGUGAGGGCGAGAUUGGGUGGUGUUCUCUGCCGGUGGAUAGGCUCGACCGUCCGGUUUGGGAUUGGGGUUAGGUAUUAGGGAGCGGUUCAAAAUUAUGCUAAUUGUUAAGAUUACGAGUAUUAUUUAAAAAGAUACACAACAGCAACAAUACAAUGAGCCCACGAAGAUCAAAUGCCAGUUAACUGAUUUAAGCAGCUUUGAUAGGAAGAAAAUGCUGAAUUUAAUGCUAACAAAAAGAUCUAAGUGCGCUGUUAGGGGCUAAGACUUUAACAUUAUGGGCCAGCCACUGUUCUAAACCCUUCACAUUUGGUCACUCAUUUAAUUCCUACUUUAUGAGGUAGAUAUCAUUAUAAUACUGUUUUACAGAUGGGGAACCUGAGGCACAGAGAGAAAAAUGUAUUAGCCAAGGUCAUAUAACUAGUAACUGGCAGAACAAAGAUUCAUACCCAGGCAUUCUUCCUUUAAAUUCUGUACUCUGGCCUUUCAUUGAUAACCUGGUUUUAUCAGCUUAGGAAAUUUGCUAUCCAGAUGGAAGUAUAAGUUUCUACAGAGAUAUGUUAUUGCAGCAGUGUUCUGAAUCUCAUCGGGUUUGUUGGCAAUUUGCCUUUCAACAAAGGGUUUUUUUUUUUUUUUUUGAUAAGGGUGGCUUCCACAGAGAUUUAAGGAGAACAAUAAAAAUUUUCAUUUUAAUAAAUAAGCCCCAUUUCAACGUCCCUUCUCCUGUAUCAUUCCUCUGAUUCUUCUCUGUCGUUAUUUGUUUCUAUUAGGUUAAAUCAUUUUACAUUUCUGGUAUUUAACCAUUUUGACCCACAAAAACAGGGAUUUCAUUUGUUUAACCUAAUACAGAAACAUCUUUUCAAGCAGAAUUUAGGAAUCUACAACAAUGAGCAAGAUUAUAUUUUCAUCUCCAAAAUGUACGUUAAGUCUGUUUGUUUCUCUUUAUAUCCACUGUGAACCCAUGGUCCAUGCCACUACCUUCUUUCACUUGGGUUACUACAGUAGCCUCUGGACUGAUUUCCUUACUUCUGCUCUUUUCUCAUUCUUGCCUCUUUAAGGAGCCAGAAUGAUCUUUUCUAAACAAACAUUGGAUUAUGUUCCUCCCUUCUAGUAGUUCCCCAUCACGUUUAGAAUACACAUCCUGGCCCCUGUUCACCUCUCUAACCUAAUCUUGUGUCACCUUCCCCUUAAUCCAGUGCUUUCAACACGUGGCCUUUUUCAGUUCCUGUAACACACCAAAUUCAUCCCUAUUCAGAGACUUUGCAUUACCUCUCCCUUUCGUGUGGAAUGGUUUUCUG